rnacentral:rRNA from 1 species
UACGUAGGGGGCAAGCGUUGUCCGGAUUUAUUGGGCGUAAAGAGCGUGUAGGCGGCCAGGUAGGUCCGUUGUGAAAACUCGAGGCUCAACCUCGAGCUGUCGAUGGAAACCAUCUGGCUAGAGUCCGGAAGAGGAGAGUGGAAUUCCUGGUGUAGCGGUGAAAUGCGCAGAUAUCAGGAAGAACACCUAUGGCGAAGGCAGCUCUCUGGGACGGUACUGACGCUGAGACGCGAAAGCGUGGGGAGCGAACAGG